UGACGAUGCGACGCUGCGUGUAGGAUGACGGCCUUCGGGUUGUAAACUACUGUCAUAAGGGAAAAAUGGUGCGGGAGUUAAUAACUUCUGCAAUUGAUGUUACCUUAAGAGGAAGCCACGGCUAACUCUGUGCCAGCAGCCGCGGUAAUACAGAGGUGGCGAGCGUUGUUCGGAUUUACUGGGCGUAAAGGGUGUGUAGGUUGUCACGUAUGUCGGAUGUGAAAUUCCGGGGCCUAACCCCGGCGCUGCAUUCGAAACUGCGUGUCUAGAGUACAGGAGAGGUAAGCGGAAUUCUUGGUGUAGCGGUGAAAUGCGUUGAUAUCAAGAAGAACACCGGAUGCGAAGGCGGCUUACUGGAAUGUUACUGACGCUGAAACACGAAAGCUAGGGGAGCAAACAGGUUUAGAUACCCUGGUAGUCCUAGCUGUAAACGGUGUGCACUCGGUGUUGGCGGAAUUGUCCCCGCCAGUGCCUAAGCUAACGCAUUAAGUGCACCGCCUGGGGGGUACGAUCGCAAGAUUAAAACUCAAAGAAAUUGACGGGGACCCGCACAAGCGGAGGAGCAUGUGGCUUAAUUCGAUGCAACGCGUAGAACCUUACCUGGUCUUGACAUCCCGAGAAUCUUUUGGAAACAAGAGAGUGCCUCUUUGAGGAACUCGGUGACAGGUGCUGCAUGGCUGUCGUCAGCUCGUGUCGUGAGAUGUUGGGUUAAGUCCCGCAACGAGCGCAACCCUUGUCUUUAGUUGCCAGCAUUGAGUUGGGCACUCUAAAGAGACUGCCGGUGUCAACCGGAAGAAGGUGGGGAUGACGUCAAGUCCUCAUGGCCUUUAUGACCA
rnacentral:rRNA from 1 species